GAUGAACGCUGGCGGCGUGCCUAAUACAUGCAAGUCGAGCGAACAGACGAGGAGCUUGCUCCUCUGACGUUAGCGGCGGACGGGUGAGUAACACGUGGAUAACCUACCUAUAAGACUGGGAUAACUUCGGGAAACCGGAGCUAGUACCGGAUAAUAUAUUGAACCGCAUGGUUCAAUAGUGAAAGACGGUUUUGCUGUCACUUAUAGAUGGAUCCGCGCCGCAUUAGCUAGUUGGUAAGGUAACGGCUUACCAAGGCGACGAUGCGUAGCCGACCUGAGAGGGUGAUCGGCCACACUGGAACUGAGACACGGUCCAGACUCCUACGGGAGGCAGCAGUAGGGAAUCUUCCGCAAAGGGCGAAAGCCUGACGGAGCAACGCCGCGUGAGUGAUGAAGGUCUUCGGAUCGUAAAACUCUGUUAUUAGGGAAGAACAAAUGUGUAAGUAACUAUGCACGUCUUGACGGUACCUAAUCAGAAAGCCACGGCUAACUACGUG
rnacentral:rRNA from 1 species